ACGCGUGUAGCUCAGUUUGGUAGAGCAGCGGUCUCCAAAACCGCGGGUCGGGGGUUCGAGUCCCUCCACGCGUGCCG
rnacentral:tRNA from 1 species